AGUCUGAUUUCAUGAUCAGUUAUUUAACAGAUCUCCAUUUCUUUGGAGUCCAUUAUUGGAGUUUAGUUAAUUUCUUUUGGAGUAUCAUGACUCUCUGAUUCUUUGUAACACUUGUGCUUUUGCAUCAUUGCCUGUGCAUUUGAGGAGGAAAAUCUUUCUUUGGUGUUUGUAGAUGUUCUGUUUAUAGAUCUUCAGAUAAUGCAGUUUGUGAGCUAUGGAAUUCCAGCUAGUGAGGAUUCUGGGCAGGCACUACUUUCUGUGGGUUCUUCAGUUGAUGGGACUGCUAUGUUUGCUCUGAGUUGGGUAGCAAGAUCACUGGCUGGUCUUUGUUGUCAGAUAUAACAGCCUCUGGUCUUGUUGGUCACGGGAUGCAUAUCUUGUGCUGGCAACUCCAUUUGGAGCUGCAGUUAUGUGAACUUCAGACUGGGAUUCAAGGAUAGACACAGUUUCUGCUUGUGCAGGGAACUGGAUCAGAAGUGGAGCAGCUGAAAUUCCAGUUGGAGCUCAUAUGAGAAUCUGGCAUCACAGGGCAUGGCUUAACCUAUUGCAUCACAAUGAUGGGCCCGACAUUCUCAACAAUUAACACAGGAUCAUUCUCCUUUGCCUGUAUGGAAUUAAGCCAAAGUACACCUCAGCAAUUCAGUUCACUGCGAGUGGAAGAGUGAGAUAAGUACUUAUGAUGUGGUUAAGCACUACAGCUUUAAGACCUUCAAUGAGAGUCUAUAGCCUGAGUCUCCGUAACAACUGAUGCCCAAUAUGACCACUCUGGCAUGAAAGAAGCCUUUCCUGUUAUUGGCUCCAGGAAUUCUUACAAUUCCCUUUGUGACAUAUUAAAUAGCAAAUUCUUCUCCCUCCAGUGCUCUGAUUUUUAAAAAGGACAAUCAGGGAAAAUGUCUAUGGAAAGGCUACUUUCCAGCUAUUGGAAUCAGCUUCCAGUAAUUGUUGGUUUCAGAAAUAACUGCUCGCUUUCACUGGUGGUGUAACUCAUAAGAGGGGCAGAGUUUUUGAUAUUUUGCGUUGUAUGCUCAGAAAGCAGAAAGCAUUGCUGCAACUUUGGAUUCCACAAAAGGAAAUGCCCUGAAUGUUUGAGGCCAAGCCACAGUAAGUGUCCUGCCCCAGCACAGUUCUAUCUAUCUCAGUGUCUCCUGCUGGAUUUUUUUUUUUUUUUUUUGACAGGCAGAGUGGACAGUGAGAGAGAGAGACAGAGAGAAAGGUCUUCCUUUGCCGUUGGUUCACCCUCCAAUGGCCGCUGCGGCUGGCGCGCUGCAGCCGGUGCACUGCGCUGAUCCGAUGGCAGGAGCCAGGUGCUUCUCCUGGUCUCCCAUGGGGUGCAGGGCCCAAGUACUUGGGCCAUCCUCCACUGCACUCCCUGGCCACAGCAGAGAGCUGGCCUGGAAGAGGGGCAACCGGGACAGAAUCCGGCGCCCCAACCGGGACUAGAACCCGGUGUGCCGGCGCCGCAAGGCGGAGGAUUAGCCUACUGAGCCACGGCGCCGGCCUCCUGCUGGAUUUUUUAAUAACCAUCCUGUUUUUGAAUCUUCCUGCUAACCAAAAUAAUCAUCCUCACUUACACCCAUAAGUUUUUAGGAAAAUUAUUUUCCCCCAUCAAGCCCUCUCUCACUGUCUUGUCUUCUCCUUGCUGAUGGUUCUUUGAGAAUCUUCUCUUGGCUGUCCCAGUGACUGUUACUCUGCCACACUAGUCCUGUAGAUUCAACUGUCACCUGCAGCCAGUGUCAGGCUGCCUAACUCAUGUGGCAGGAGGCAUUUUACAUUGUUGAAGGUCUAGGUGCAGAGCUCAAUAUUUUUUGUCCUUGCAAAGAUGUGCUUUAGGAGCCAGGGACUUGCUCUUAAUCGCUUUUUAAAAACUUUCUUCUCCGUGCCCUAUGAUAGAAAAAAACAAUUUGGAUGGGGAGUGCUGAGACCCAUAGAAGGAUUACAUCACCAUAUAUCACAUACAUUGAAAGAUUAUUGUGCUUAUUUAUUUUAGUUUUUAUUUAUUUAUUUUAAAGUAGACUGACAGAGAGAGGAAGAGACAAAGAAAUGGAGAUCUUUCAUCUGUCAGUUCACUCCAAAUAUGUGCAAAAGCGGGGGCUGGGCCAGGCUGAAGCCUGGAGCCAGGAAUUCCAUCCAGGUCUUUAACAUAGGUGGCAGGCACCAAGUACUUGGGUCACCAUCUGCUGCCUCCCAGGCACAUCAGCAGAAGGUUGGGUUAGAAGCAGAGUUGAAACUAUAUCCCCAGACACUCCCAUAUGGGAUGCAGGCAUUGCAAGUAGUAGCUAGUAGUAGCUUAACCAACGGUGCCACAAAUGCCCAAAUAUGUCUGUACUAGUUAGAUGAGAAAAUUCUUUAAUUCAUGAGCAGAAUUUGAUGGGCUUGAGUUAGUGUAUAAAUAGCAAACAUAAUAUUUUAGUGAAAUUGCUAUAAAAAUCAUUUUUAAAGAUUUUAUUCAUUUAUUUGAGAGGUAGAGUUACAGACAGUGAGAGGGAGAGACAGAAAGAAAAGUCUUCCUUCUUCUGGUUCACUCUCCAAAUGGCUGAAAUGGCCGGAGCUGUGCCGAUCCGAAGCCAGGAGCCAGAUGCUUCUUCCUAGUCUCCCAUGCGGGUGCAGAUGCUCAAGCAUCUGGGCCAUCUUCCACUGCUUUCUCUGGCCACAGCAGAGAGCGGGAUUGGAAGAGGAGCAUCUGGGACUAGAACUAGUGCUCAUAUGGGAUGCCAGUGCUGCUGGCAGAGGAUAACCUACUGCUCCACAGUGCCAGCCCCUCAAAAAUCAUUUUAACAUUUUAUUAGUGUUUCUUCUAUUGUCUUUCUAAUAUACUGUAAUUGUACAAUCAAAGUGAAAUGCCAUGAGGGUGGAAAAUCAUUAUAGUGAAUUUCUUUUUAUAACAUAAGAGCCUGUAUAUUCCCCUUCAUUUUGUGGACAGCAAAAUUGCAUCACAAGGAACACAAAAGAAGAAUUUCCCACUUGCUGGUUUAAAACUUGUUACCUUUUGUAUUUGAAGCUGUCUUUUUUGAUGUCAUUAUUGACUGUUCUAGGAUGUAGGCAAAUGCCUUACCGUCACUCACAGAGUCAGGAGGUAAUGGUUCAAUACAUGACAUAACCAAUGGAGAAAAUUCCUGGGGGAAUAUGAAAAAUCCUCAUGUAAGUACUCUGGAAACAGUCCAUAGUAUUAAUUUUCCAGACAGAUCACAUUGCACAGCAAUCUUAAAUAACUUGGGUUUAGAGUUAUAAUAGAGUAUCACCAAAUUUGCUCUUUUAAAGGCAGUAUCUGCCCAACUGUCCCUUCAAAGUGAAGGUUCUCAGACAAAUUCAAGAAUUUUAAAUACUUCUCUGAUUCAGCCAUAUCUGUAAUGAAAAAGCACAGAAAAUGGUACUACCUGGGAGAGAUUAAUAGCUGAUAAAAAGAAAUAGUUACAAAAUUAUCAAUAUACAGUUUUUUGGUGGGUGACUCAUGUCAACUUUAGGGUUGUUAACAUUGUCUCAUGGGCCAUAGUUUUCUCAUAUAGAAAAAUUAUUUGUAAUGUAAGAAGAUGAAUGUUUGAAUAGCUAUCAGUCAGGAAAACAAUUGUCUAAUACUUGUCCAAGUAUUGUACAGUUGUAAUACCAACCAACAUAAAACACUCAGAAUAUUAAAUGUUUUUAAAAUUUAUCAUUGAACAGAAACAUCUGCUCUUCAAUCAUUUAUUUUUGAGGAAUGCCAGGACUUUAUUGAGAUCUAUUCCUUGGAGUCUGUACUGUUAGGGUUUCUAGUUGCAUCUAUAUUCCUGAUGCAAAAUUUUUGAUCUUUAGUAUCAAUUCUUUUCUUUAAUAAGUGAUCUAGUGAUGUGGGAAAGCUUAGAAAGAUAAUUUUAAGUUCAUGAGCUAGAAGUCGCACCUAGUUCAUUUUGUGUUGUCAUGUUCAUCUACCUGUCAAUCAGGGGACCCCUCCCCAGAAGCACCUCCUUUUACCUGGGACUUGGGGUGGUGCUACAUAAACACUUCUGUUUUUCAAAGUGCAUAAAAAGAUAGGAAGAGCAGAAGCUCGCUCUUUCCUUCAUGUGGACGCAAGCGAGCAGAGCAGGGUAUGAUAAUUCCCUUUCUUUGGCCCCAUUCUCCCUUAUUAAGUCCCUAAUGGGUCUGUGUAUUUUUCUCACUUUGUAAAUAAAGUUUUUCACACUGCAUGCCCUGUUUGGGCCUGUAUUUAGAAUUCUUCUCUAAGUAAAAGGCAAGAAUCUGGAAAAUAAAUUUAGGCCCAAUUCCCAGCCUAUAACACUAGUAUCUACUUAUUUGCAUGAGUACAAUGAGGCUGCAGUGCAUAUCUUGUCCAUUGAUGACUUGCUGUAUUCAUAGACUCUGGCACAUCUCUCUGUGAAAGGAUAUCCUUUGACAUGUAGUCUUAUUGAAAUUUUUUUUCAGUUGGCCCCUGGCCUUUGGUAACUUUCCACAUAUUUAAAUUUCCAUAUAAUUAAGGAUUCUUCAAUUUCUUUCCUCAUUAAUCUCUCCUAACCUAAAGUUAUUUCCCUAGUUUUCUACUACAAUAUCCAUUAGAAAUCAAGUUGAAUUGAUUGUCACAAUCUUAUAAUGAAGAUAUUUUUAUUUCAAAUGAUACAAAGUAAUGCAUUUUUAUUAGUAUAUCAUUACUAUUAAAUUACUAUUAACUUCAGAGAAGGUCAAGUGCUUACCAUAUGACAAAAUAAUAUACAGUGGUUUUCUUGGUUUGAAAUAUCCUGAGCAUGUUUUAUGUGUAAACUAGAGGAUAUUGGAUACAAAGCAAAGUUCUAAGUUACUGCUGUCUGAGGAUGUUUAAUGCUGUCAUACAGAAAGUUUGAAACACUGUGCAGGUGAGAAUCUGUUUUUCAGGUUUACUUGAAGCUAGAGGAGCCUUCAAUCGUCAAAUAGGCUUUAAAUUUUUUCUUCCAUCAUCACAGUGCAGUGAACAAUCAAAUUGUACAGAGAAUGUAGUUACUAAAAUACUCAGAAACAGUGUGCUGUUGAAAGAGAGAGAGAGGCAGACAGACACACAGAGAGUCAUAUUACAGAAUUACUGCUGAAUGAUAAUAAUAAUAAUAAUAAUAAUAAUAGAGCAAGGAUUCUGUACCAUUAAGAAUACAAGCACAGACCUUCUAGCUAUCCAGACAGUGAGGGGCACAGUGAGGAGGGCUCAUUCCAGGGCAGACAUUGUAUUCUGGACACUGUUUAGAGCUCAUCUGUAAGCCCUUGGUGAUGAGGAAACAAACAAAAGACAGGUAUCAGCAUCCUGGAUAUAUUCUGUUAAGUUGGUUUAAUGCUUUGGAUAUGGUAGCCUGGAUAAAUUUCCAAUUAGGAAGUAUAAGCUUAGUCAUUUAAAAAUAUUUUGAUAAAAUAGAGACUGAAAAGCACAAUAUUAUAAACAUUUGUAUCUUUUUCAUUGUAACUCAAUCAAAUAAUUUCUAUUGGUUCUUUUUAUUUUUGUCAAAAAACACUAAGAACCAUGGGGGAAUUCUUCCUUAUAGAAAUUUGGACUUUACCAAAUUAUGAGGGACAUCUGCUGCUUAGACUGGGCCAAACCAGAUGAGUAGCCUUUACUUAUAGGUGGUGCCUUGGUCAAGGACAUUUCUAAUUAUGAUGAGGCUGUAGUAUCUGGAGGAUGGUGGAGGUCGGAAAAUAAUUGAUUCUAUUCUUAUGUGCUGUGCAGUGUGAGCACAAAGCCCAGAAGUUUUAGGUCAGCUUUUAGGAUUACAGAAAUGUGAGGUCACUGGAAGCCAGCAGAAGCCUGAACUUUAGUGUAAUUUUCUACUUCCCCUGAAGGUGCCUGUGUCUCACUGCUAUUUCAUACAUUGAGAUUUGGGAGUCCUACACUCCUGUGGUAUUAAUGAUUUUAUGACUAUUUUAAGAUUUACUUUAUGUGAGUUAAGUUGAACAUCUUUUCAAUUGAAAAUAGUUUUAGCCCUUGCCUAUGUUCCUGAUGCACUAUGGCUUUUUUACUUUCUGUAAAAAAAGGAGUGCAGAUUGGUGCCUUUUCACAUGGGACACCAAACGUAAGAAAAAGGGGUACAGAACAGAGAGGAUUACAAACUUACAUCCAGACUGAAUUUAUUCAAAGAAAAUAAAUCUGUGGAGGUGGGUGACCAGUUGGCAGUGUGCACACAAACUGAACACAUGGCAUAUGGCCCAGACCCCAGUAGGCUGGGCCUUUUUAUAUCUUAGGUGGACUAGGAGUGGGGUUGGGGGGGCAGUAGGCAGAGGUGAGCUUCCCCAACAGGUUCUUCAAGUUCGGCCCAAACCUGGGUAAGAAUGCAAUGGGCUGGGUGAGGAACAAUAUGGUGUGAGAGUGAAUUGGGAUUCAUGGACAAGGGAUGAAUUCUGAUUUUAUCUAUCUUUUGGGUAAUGAUUGAGAAUGGCUGAGGAUUAUGUCCUUGUUCCAUCACUUUCUGUUAGUUGGAUUCUUGAUUUAAUAGAACAAUUAAGCCCUUCCUAGAUCAUAAUAUAUAUUAAAAUAUAUUAUCUCAAAAGUACAAAAAAGAUUGGAGAUGUUAGCAAGUUUCAUAAUGCCUUUCUAUAAAUUCAAAGCAAAAAAUAUGAAACAUAAGUUGAUUCUUUUUUAAUGAAUAGGAAUAAUUCCCAUUUAUUCUAAACAUGAACAGAAGUACAUUACAUACCUCUUAAGAACAAGUAAACAGGGCCAGCGCUAUGGCUUAGUGAGUAAAGCCGCCAACUGCACUGUAUCCCAUAUGGGUGCCAGUUCACGUCCCGGCUGCUCCACUUCCUAUUUAGAUCUCUGCUAUGGCCUGGGAAAGCAGUGGAAGGUGGCCCAAAUCCUUGGGCCCUGUACCCACAUGGAAGACCCAGAAGAAGCUUCUGACUCCUGGCUUUGGAUCAGUGCAGCUCUGGCUGUUGCGGCCAUUUGGGGAGUGAAUCAGCAGAUGGAAGACCUCUCUCUCUCUCUCUGCUUCUCCUCUCUCUCUGUGUAACUCUGACUUUCAAAUUAAUAAAUAAAUCUAAAAAAAAAAGAACAGGCAAACUCCUUGAAACUGUGUAGUAGACCACAUAGGGAUAAAUGAUCUUUAUGCAGCUCAAAACCAUAGAACCUCCAUGUAUUAGUUCAUUUUUCGUGAUUUUCAUGAAAUAUAUCAGGUAGGCUAACUAUCAACAAAAGAGGUUUACUUUGGCUUAGGAUUCUGGAGGUUCACAUUCCAAGCAGCAUGGUGCAGGUUCUGGAGUGCAUCACUGCAUGGUGCAUGGCCUUCUAGAGGCAGAGUCCCAGGGUGGCACACAGCAUCACCUGGUGAGAGACAGAGAGCUUGAGUGUCUACAACUGUGUGCAUGGGUUAUCUCAUCUAGGAAAAUCACCAGGUUCUACCAUGGAGACUGCACCCUAACGGUUGUAUCUAAUGCAAAUCACUUCCUGAAGGUCC